rnacentral:lncRNA from 1 species
CUUUCUGCAGGACAAGUGUGCAGACUACAAAGCUUCGGAAAACCGGAGAGGCUGAGUCGACUAAUCGUGUUGUUGCACGUUAGAAACGCUUGCAUUGCCUGACUCUGAAACCAGAAGGGCGGCCGAAUGGCCUUCACCCUCCGUUAACCCUCGCCUGCUUCAGAAGCCAGUGCUUCUGGAAAUGCCUGGAUCUGCGACCCCUGCCUGAGCCUAGUAGGGCCCAAGGGAAGCUGAACGCCCCGACGGCUCUCAUGGGCACCGGCCACAGUUUUCCAUUUGUGCCUACUCCACCUGCUGUCUUUGCUGGGUCCGCGAACAUCGCCUCCCUCUACCGCUCAAUUAGCAAACGGGACCGCCUUUGAGGACCUCAUCCUCCGCUCACCCCGCUCCCAACUUCGCGGGCAUCGCCUCCGGUCGCCUCUUCUGAAGGCCUAACGAGCACGUUAGCUGCGAACGGAGGUGAGGAGGCUCCGCUGACUGACCGGUGCCCAUGUCCAGGGCACGCACAAACGCCAUGACUUGGCUUGGCCUCUCUCUUAGUUAUUCACAGCUCAGCCCGAUAGGCACCUCCGGGGUGGCGACGGCAAAGAGGGUGGGCUUAUUAAGUGCAGCUCCACGGGGACUGGCCUCUCUGCACGGCUGUGUACACCUGAGCGAGACGCUCAGUCGCUCUCUAAAGCCUCUUCUGCUGAUGACAGACACGGAGAUAAACGUGAGAGGUGGCCCACCACGACUUGCCCUCCUUCGCCCAGGUUUGCCCCUCGCUGCGGAGGCUGUUCUACAUCUGGCCCUUGGAGCAGGCCGGCUGACUGCGUAGUAAAGGAAGAUUUCUGCGGGAGGGCGGCCAGUGCAAAACAAUUCCCUGACUGGGAAUCGAACCGAAGCAACAGCGCUUUCAGCGCCGAAUCCUAGCCACUAGACCACCAGGCAGAUACGGAAGAGUGUUUUCUCUCCCUUCUUCGGUCUGAAGUGACAGUUUCCUGUGCUCUAGGAGGACUUGGGUCUUGUGAGGGUCGCUCUUUGCUCCUGGAGUCGUCUCACAAGGCCGUUACCUCCCUGCUUUCUUCAAAAAAAGAACCUGCAGGCGACACACCGAGGGCUCCGCGAGGGACACCAAGGCCACGAGUCCUGAGUCCUGGAGCGAGUUGCAGCCUCCCGGCCGCAGCUCACCACUGGCCUAGAGAUGCGCCUUUGCGAGGCGGCAGCAACUGACAAGAUGGUCGCGGGUCGCCAGGUCCGGAGCUGCGCACCAGGUUGCCAGGAGAAGGCGGGAGCGGGGAGGCGCCCGGGGUGAGACGGGGGCACCCUCUGCAUCAUAAAGGACCCAGACCCCGGCACCCUCAACAUCAUAAGGAAUCAGACGGAUGCGGAAAUCGAGACAGGCUAGAUGGGAAACUCUUUCCGGGAAGGCUCCGGGGCACUCAACUGGUCUCCAACCUUCCUCUGCAACCUGUGACACCUGCCAUUUUCCCAUUUUAGGCGAUGGCAACGCCACCCCUCCCUUUGCUCUGGGCAAAACUUCGAGAGUUCCCUCUGACGCUGGAGUUUUUUCCUCAGAUCCAAGAUCCAAUUGGUCACUAAUUCGUGAUUUCCGUCGGCCAAGUGCAUGGGCAUUGAUCUACACGCGAGUUUCUCCACCUCUGCGGAAUGGCUACUUCGGGGUGGGGUAGGUGCCCUCCCGUGGUGGAUUGCAAGGUGUUUAGCAGCAUCCGUCGCCUCCACUGACUAGAUACAUGCCAGGGGGAUAACAUUCUCCCUCCCGCUUCCCCCAGCCGCGGCCUAGUGUCCCAGCGGGGUUGGGAGAGGCAUGUGAGGGCGAAGUUGCCCCCUGUUGAGAACCAUUGCUGCGCGUAGUCCUGAUCUCUGAACUUGUGCAGAGGACUCUCCAGGUGAAGAAGGCUCAAGGGUGGAUCCAGCUCGAGACACCCUCGCUCCCCUUCACAGUCGGACCUUAGGAUUUAGGCUUUAACAUCUCCACAUCAUGAGAUUCGAAACCUUUAGGUCUUUUCUUCCGUUCUGUCCUCCAAAUCGGCCUCUUCCGAGCCUGUUGACCAGGGCCAGCCGGGCAGAGGGCUGAGCUCGCUCAACGAGGCUCCUCUCGCCCCUCCUGGAGCUUCAGGCCUCUUUCGGUUGCAGAAAAGCUUUACGGGCCAAUUCGUUCGGCAUCCCCGGCGGCAGGUGCGCGGUGCGCGGGGAAGAAGAGGAUUUGACUGCGGUUCUCGACCCCCGGCGCCCAACCUCCACCCCGGUGCGCUCGCUCUUCCAGGCUCCUGCUGGUCCCACUCGCCAGGAGUUAGGUCUCAGGUCAGCCUGAGCUGCCGAGAGGCCCAGGCCCGGAAGGACACAUAGGGGAAACCAUCUGCUCACUUCGGUCCUGUCCGGAAGGGAUCCCUUUCUGACGGGAAAGAAAGGCGGCGAGUCCUGUCCUGUUGAGUAGGCGGAAGAGAGAUCAAAGGGAAGACAAUAAAAAUCCUGUGAGGUUUCAGGAUCUAAAGUUACCAUGAAGUCGACCUAACCUCCUCUGGAGGUCCUCCCGGUCCUCCCGUGGCUGGCGAAGGUGAAUCUAGCUUCUGUCUCCAGUUCGCCAAGGCGGACAAAGCCGACGACAAUGGGCCUGUCCACUAUCUUCUUUCAUAUGCACAAAAUGUCAGCUCUUCUUGUUUCUAACUUGCAACAUCCCACCUGAUGACCAGCUCAGCAAAUUAGAGACCCUCCAUAGGAUUCCAUCUCUGUCUUAGUUCGAGCUUCUAUAACUAUGUACCAUAAACUGGGUGGCUAAUUCACAACAGAAAUUUAUUUCUCACAGUUCUGGAGGUUGGAAGUCCGAGAUAAAGGUGCCAACAUGGUAGGGUUAUGAUGAGGGACUUUUUUCUGGUUGUAGACUGCCACCUUCUCAUUGUAUCCUCAGGGGGCACAAAGAGGGCGAGAGAGCUCCCUGGGGUCCCUUUUAUAGGGGCAUUAGUCCCACUCAGACUAAUGGGACUAAAUCCAGACUCUGUGAACUUAAAAGUUAAAGAUAUAGAGUGUUUCAAGGAUACUCUGUAGGCAAAGAUUAGCCUACCAACAAGUAGGACACUGAAAAAAUGUAUAUAAAAGAAAGACAUGAUAGACUUCAUCAACGUUAGCCAUACCUUCUCAUCAAAAGAUACCACUAAGAAAGUGAAAAGGUAAGCAAGCCACAGACAGAGAGAAAAUAGUCACAAAACAUAUCUGACCUCCACACCCUGUAAUUAGAAUUAUUGUGGUCUGGUACACUGCACCCAGUUUCUGCAGGAGUAUUUUCUGGGUGUCUCUAAUGAGUAAGAGAGGGCUCCAUGGGAUAUUCCUACAGUUCCCAGAUGAACAGUGGGAAAGACUCUACAUUGACCAACACCGAGACCUGAAAACUCAGGUCCUCAAGGAGGGUAGAGGAUACCUGGACCCUGACCCAGACCCCUGGAUGGGCUGUGCCAAGAGACCCAGCAAGGGAAGGGAUUCCCUCCUGCCUCAGGUUCUCUGUUCUUCUGUGGUUAGAAGACCUGAACCCAACUCCCUCCCCAAGCACUGGAGAUGGGGCUUUUCCAAGGGCUGGGGAUCUUGCUGUACUAAGGACAGCUGAGCAAGGGGGUCGAGGAGGAGCUUGGGUGGUGGAGGAGAAGAAACCGGGUAAGAUGUGUGAAGCAGUCAGCUAUACCAGGCACAGAGAGGACCCACUGGGACCCAAAAGCCUGCAUGUGAAGCCAGGCCUUGGGCCACCUUGUUCCUCAAAGGGGUGCCUACUUCCAUGGGAUCUUCAAAGGGACUGUGGAAAGAGAGGCCUUCAGCCCACACCUCUGAGUGCUUUUCCACCACAGCAUGCCGUGGCCUGUGUCCUGCUGGUGUGGAACAGUCAGACCCCUGCAGGGCUGCAGAACCUCUGUACUGGGCAGCAUCCCAGCCUGAGUGCCAGAGCUCAGUGGGCAGGCCCCCGAGCAAGUAGAGAGGAGGGCACCUUUUGGACAGAACGUGUGGGACAAGAGCGAUGUCUCGUCCGUUCAGGUUCCUCACAAAAUGAGAGUCAGGAAGAUCAGGGCGCAGACCUGAUUUCCCACGCAGGGCUGAAAGCAGACAACCGGAGGGACAGCAGCACCUGAGCCAAUGAGAUAGAAGACAGAAAACCACAGUGUACUUCUGCCCUCAACCUAACCCCCUCCCACCCACAUCCUCCACGCCCCCUGACCACCUUCCUCAGAAACAUAAUAGGAAUAAAGAUUCCCCCUGGCCUGGUUGCUACAGGAGGCACAGUGGCCUGAUGGAGCCUGAGGCAGGUGUGGGAAGAUGUGGAUUGUCUAACUGGAGGUUGGGAGUCCAGGGUGCAGAAAGAGAAGCUUGGAGUGCAGGAUUUGGUGGUAUGUGUGUGGCAGUCGGCACUAUGUUCUAAUUGCCAGUUUUUUUUUCUUCUUCCUUUCUUUCUCUAGCUAAACAAGCACUGGCCUAGAGAUAAGCAAUGCUGAAGCACUUGCAGCUCACCUAUUACCAUAAACUGAAUGAGUCUUCCCUACACAAGCCAUAACUACCACUUUGAUUGGACAAGAGACUGAUUUCAGUAACUUUCUCUUUAUAAGAGACCACUGGCUGUGGACUGGUUCUGGACAGUUUACAGAGGCUAUGCACUUGAUUGCCUUUGUGUCCCUGCUUCACCUUUUGAAGCAUAGGACCUAAUUAUAAUGUAUUUAAAUGUUGUCUCCACCCCAAAGUGAACAUGGGUUGCAUGUAACAGGCGUGUUUACUCAGCAUGCAUGCAGCAGGAUCCCUUCACAAAUAUUCAGAGCUCCCCCUAUUCCCUGUUGAAUAUGUAUAUGUGGCCAACCAGAUCAACAUAAAUCACUAUUCGCCCUCCCCUCCCUGGAAACCUACUUUUCGGGUUUCAGCAGGAAGGUAUGCCUCCCAGUCUGUCAGAAUGACCACCUUGCAGGCUGUAACGCUUUACAAAAAAAUAAAAUCUCCUUUCUAAAUUUA